GGCGGAGAGGGGGCUCUCUGCAGACAGGGCUGGCGUUGGAGGUGUGGGUGAAAUCCUGGUCCCGGCACGCAGGCACACACCGACUGGGUGGCCUCGGGCAAGUGACGUAACCUCUCUGAGCCCCCAGGUCCUCCUUUGGCAAGCGGGAUAGCGGUGGCCGCGUCACAGAGUGGCCAUGAGGAACCGCACCACGGCAGCGCAGACGAGUGGCUGGUCACCAAGGAAGCAGCACCCCCCCCCCACCAGCCCGCCCGCGUCUCCCGCGGGGGUCUUGCGGUCUCCCUGCGCCACUCGCUGCCCUCCCGGGCUUGCCCGUCGGGGGACAUCUGUGCCUGGCGUCACCCCGCCCCGACUCCGGCCUCCGCUGGGGGCCCCCGCCAUCACCGCCGACCUGGGCCUGUUACCCCGCGGCUCGUCCUAAUCCCGCGGCCUUUCCUCCACCGUUCAGGAUGGCGCUUGGGCUCCACAACCCAGCGAACGGGGCCAAGGGCACAGGGCAAAUGAGCGUGUAUCCUUCCGAGGAGGUCAGAACCCGGCACUUCCACUUCUGCUCACCUGGCAGGCUCCGCACACCGCGACGGCGAGCCUCACUGACAACGGGGAGAUCCGCAUCUCCAGGUGGCCUUGGGCCUAGCUGAAGAUCGGGCUUCUACCCGGGAGGACAAGGCGGGCGAGGGAGCACUGGCACACAGCUCUGCCGCAGGUAAAGAAAACCCCGGAAAUGCCCCAUGGUUCACUCUUGGCAGCUUUCAAAACUGCUGGAAAAAUCCAGAGAGUUUCCAAGAAGCCGCCAGGGGAGCUCACAACCUGCCCGGAUCUCUGGCAGCCGCCUGUGAGCUUUUCUCUCCGACCCCCCCCCCCCUUUGCAGGGGGACUGGAGGGUCCCUGUGUGUCCGUCCAGGCGCCCAUGGAAAGGCCCCACCUGCGAGGCCCUGGAGGCCUUCUAUCUUCAAAAAACAAAGUAAUUCACUUUUAAUGACCGCCAGUGUUUUCCUUCCCAGUUCUCUUUGAGCAGAUAAUGCGUCUGAGGCCUUCCCGACAGGGUUAAACCACCGUGACCUUCAUAAUCAGAGAACAGAAAUAAAUUAUAUUUACUC